GCCACAGUAGCUCAGUCGGUAGAGCAGCCGCCCUGUAAGCGGCAGGUCAUGGGUUCAAUUCCCAUCUGUGGCU
rnacentral:tRNA from 1 species